AAGGUGUUAGUAAACUUACAUGAGUAUGGUAGUAAGAUGGAAAUGCAUAAAUGUGAUUAAUUGUAAAAAUUAAGUGAGUUAGGGUUUUGGGACUUAGGAUUUGUGAACUAAAAAUGCAAGAAAUGAGUAAAUGGCAUGUUUGACCUAUUGUGAAGUGAAAAAUGGUCAAUUGUGACCAAAUGAGUUGUGUUUGAAUUGUUGGAAGUGAAGCCAAAUUCGGAGGUUGAAUGGUCAUGCUGCUGGCAGCAUGACCAAGUCAACUUUGAAGGACCAAAACUGAAAUUUUACAAGUCCAAUUGAUAUGGCACCAAUUGGGGAUGAAAUUAGACAUAAAAUGACACAAUUUUCAUUCAGGAACCAUGCCCAAAAAGUGACCAAAACUUAGUGAACCAAUUGACCAAAGUUGAAUAAGAGCAGUCUGCCACUGUACAAACUGAUCAAAUAAACAGUGUUUGUUCAUUUGGUCAUAACUCGAGUUAGACAGGUCCAAAUGACCUGAAAUUUUACCAGUGGUUAGAUGAGAUAUAGACCUAAAACUUUCAUGAAGAACACAAGUCCAAAUUCUGCCAGAAACUAAGUCAUUUGGCCACCCCAAGUUGGUGACUCAAAUCUGCCAGCACCAAAUUUACCCAGAAAAUCUGGGUUGUUUUCAAUCCGGCAACCCUAGUUCAAAUGGCCAUAACUUGAGCUACAAAACUCCAAUUGAGGUGAUCCAAAAAUGAGAAUAAACUUAAGACAUUAAGGAACAUUUUCUAUGAAGGAAGUUUUUCCAAAUUCCAACAGUAAAAUUGUCAAUGGAACAGUGCAACUAGGAGCACCAAAACUGAAAAUUUGACAAUUUAGCCAAAAGGACUUAAGCCUUGAGAAAAUGACCAAAACCAACAAAUUUAAUGAUCAAAAUGUGGUAUGUGGGUGAAGUUGGAGUUCCCAUACCUAUUAAGCCUUAAAAAGUCAACAAUUUGACUUGAAUAGUGUAGUGAAUAGUAACCUGAAAUACAAAAACUUCGAGAACGUCGGAAUUAGUACAUUAAAGCUAGGUAAAAAUGAAGUGAAAUUUAUUUUUGGAUUUAUGCUAAGUUAUGGUACUGAAACACUGUGAAAUUGUGUUUCAGCUGAAAAAGACUUGGAAACUCGAAGAGACUGAGUCAAGGCCUAAAGGCGACUCACGUCAGAUAAGAGCAAGGAGAAAGCAGCAGAGUGAGCUGCUAUCGAAUUGUGGACUACAUCGAUCAUUUUGUACGGGUAUUAUUUUAUACCCUUGUAGAUAAUUUUAAUGUAAAUAUGGAAAUGUUGUAUGUAUCAAUAUAAAGUUGAGCAGUUGUAAAUAAAUUGUAAUAAUAUUAUUUUUUUGGAUUUCCUUCUGUAAAUUAAUAUUUGUACUUAUGAAUUUCUUACUUUA